UACGUAGGGUGCAAGCGUUGUCCGGAAUUAUUGGGCGUAAAGAGCUCGUAGGCGGUUUGUCGCGUCUGCUGUGAAAACUCGGGGCUUAACCCCGGGCCUGCAUCGGGUACGGGCAGACUAGAGUGCGGUAGGGGAGACUGGAAUUCCUGGUGUAGCGGUGAAAUGCGCAGAUAUCAGGAGGAACACCGGUGGCGAAGGCGGGUCUCUGGGCCGUAACUGACGCUGAGGAGCGAAAGCAUGGGGAGCGAACAGG
rnacentral:rRNA from 1 species